AAUAUCACAGGUGGAUGUCUCCUUUUGACUAGUUUCUCCAGAGCCUUCAUGGACUGUAGGACAGAAAAACAGUAAAAGGAAUUCAGGGAGGUUUGGAAUCGGAGGGAUUAUAAGAAAUGAUUGAGUUACUUCUCUCUCAGAUCUCUCUGCCCUGGUAAUUUCUUCUGAAGGUUGAAUUCCAUCACCACCCUGUUCUUCUUGCUGGUCCUACAUGAUGAUGUGCCUGCUGAACCCAGUUCUCACUAUCAUGCUUCCUGUGACUCUUAUAAUAUUCUUAACCUGUUAUACCAUUUCUGAAAACAGUGAACUAUAAUGUUCAAACACAUGGGUAAGCAUUGUAAUUCACUCUGAUAAAAAUGCAAUUAAAAUUGACAUUCAGUGAAAUGAAGUCAUCCAUCAAUAUCUGCUGGUUCCCCAUUCACAAAUUCAGCCAAUCUUGAAUCAAAAUAUUCAGAAAAAAAGUACAAAAUAAUAAUGCAGAAAUAAAAAAUAAUAAAAAAAUAAAAAUAGAGUAUAACACAUUUUUACACAGCAUUUAUGUUGUAUUAAGUAUUACAAGUAAUCUAGAGAUGAUUUAAAUUAUAUGUGAGGAUGUGCAUAGGAUACAGCACUUUAUAUCAUCAGGGACUUGAGCAUCCACAGAUUUUGGUAUACUGUGGGGAGGGCGGGUCCUGGACCCAAUCCCCUGAGGAGACUGAGGGAUGACCAUGCACAGAUCUUAAGGGUACCUGAUAUGGUUUGGAUGUUUGUCCUCUACGAAUCUCAUGUUGAGGUGUAAUCCUCAAUGUUGGAGGUAUGGGUUGGUAGGAAGUGUUUGCAUCAUGGGGGUGGAUCCCUUAUGAAUGGCUUAGGGCCAUACCCUUGGUGAUGAGGGAGUUCUCACUCAGUUAGUUCACAUGAGAUCUGCUUGUUUAAGAGUCUGGGUUUGUUUAAGAGUCUGGAACCUCUUCGUUCUCUCUCUUGCUCCCCGUCUCGCCACAUGACACACCUGCUGCCACUAUGCAUUCUGCCAUGAGUAAAAAGCUCCCUGAGGCCUUACUGGAAGCAGAUGCCGGCACCAUGCUUCUCAUACAGCCUGGAGAACCAUGAGUCAGAAUAAACUUUUUUUCCUUAUAAAUUAUCCAGCCUUAGGUAUUCCUUUAGAGCAAUGCAAAUGGACUAACUCAGUAGCCUUUAAUUAGUGUUGAGUGCAUAUCAAGACACAUAGAACAACUCUAUCAUCCCAGAAAGUUCCCUGGUUACCCUUCCCAGGCAUUGCCCUACCACUACCCUGUCUAUAUAUGGGCAGAUGUCUGUCACCACAGAUUAGUUUUAACUAUUCUAGAACAUCACAUCAGUGGAAUAAUUCAAUAUGUAAUUUUUGUGUCAAGUUUCUUUCACUCAAAAUGAUAGCUUUUGAAAUUAAUUCAGGUAGUUGCAUGUAUCAAUAGUUUAUAUCUUUUUAUUGCUUAGUAUUCCAUUGAAUGAUACACUGCAGGUUAUUUAUUCAUUCUCCUGUUGAAGGAUAUCUGGGUUGUUUUCAGUUACUGACUGGAAAUUAUAAUUGGGUAUUUAUGAAUAAAGCUGCUGUACAAAUCCUUGUAAAAGACUUUGUGUACACAUAUGUUUUGAUUUCUCUUGAAUAAAUAACUAGCAGCAGGAUUACUGAAUCUUAAGGCAAAAAUUAUUGUUGGUGGUGGUUUUUAAAUUCUCCACCUGCAGGAAUGUUUAAUAUAUUUUGGGUACAAAUCUGUUGUCAGAUAUAUGUGUUGCAAUAUUUUUCUCGGUCUAUUUUGUUGACAGUGCUAACCUUGCAUUCCUGGGAAAAGUCAAACUUGAUCUUGGUAUAUUAACUUUUUAAUAUAUUGCUGGAUUUCAUUUGCUAAUAUUUUGUAGAGCAUUUUUGUAUCUAUUUUCUUGAGAUAUGCUGGCUGUAAUUUUCUUUUCUUGUAUUUUCCAUGCCUGCCCUUCAUGAAAUGGGCUGAAAAUUGUUCCCACGUCUGCUAUUUUAUGAGAGUUUGUGUCAGAGUAGUAUUAUUUUUUAUUCAUAAGUUAUAACUCACUAGUGAAACUAUCUAGUCCGGGAGUGUUUUUUUUUUUUGUUGUUGUUGUUGCUAUUCAAUUACAAAUUUGAUUUCUUUAUACAAGGCUAUUUCACUUUUUUUAUUUUAUUGAUUUCUGUUCUUUUUAUUAUAUCCUUGUGCUACAUACUUAGGACUUAAUUUAUUAUUUUUCUAGUUUCUUAAAAUGGAAGUAGAAAUGCUUGACUUUAUGCCUUGUUUUCUCAUAUAGGUAUUAAAAUGUAUAAAUUGCCUUCUAAAGAUUGCUUUAGUUGCAUACCACAAAUAUUGAUAUGUUGUGUUUUCAUGUAUUUCUGUUCAAAAUAUAUAUUGGAAUAUCCUUUGAGAUUUCUUAGACUCAUGAAUUAUUUAGCAGUGUGUUUUUAACUUCCAAAUCUUUGGGGGGUUUUCAAAUGUAUAUUAUUUUUAUUCAUCUUCAUUAAAUUUAAUAGUUUAAUUUAUCAUCAUUGUAUUAUUUAAAUACUUUGUUUAAUUUAGGUACUUUGAAAUGUAUUGUAACUUCUUUUAUGGCCCAGGAUAUGUCUAUCUUUUUGAGUAUUUCAUGUGCACCUUAGAAGUUGUAGCUUGCUCUAGUGUGGAAUGAUUUUCUAUUAAUGUCAAUUAGCUUACAUUGAUGGUUAGUGUUGUUCAAAUCAUCCAUAACUGUACUGAUUUUUAUUUAAUUGUUUUAUCUAUUACUGAGAAAAUAGUGUUAAAAUCUAUAUUGGUGACAGUAAAUUUGCGUCUAGUUCUCUUUUGUUUUGUCAGUUUUUGUCUCAUACUUGGGAGCUUUGUAUUGGGGGUAUAAACUUUCAGUAGUCUUAUGUCUUCUUGAAUAAGUGAUUCUUUUAUCAUUAUGAAAUGCCCCAUUAAAAUCUCUGCUAGCACUA
rnacentral:lncRNA from 1 species